GACGAACGCUGGCGGCGUGCUUAACACAUGCAAGUCGAACGGACAGGCCCUGCUUUUGUGGGGUGCUCGAGUGGCGAACGGGUGAGUAACACGUGAGUAACCUGUCCUUGUCUUUGGGAUAACUUCAGGAAACUGGGGCUCAUACCGGAUAGGAGAUCCUGCUGCACGGUGGGGGUCGGAAAGUUUCGGCGGUUGGGGAUGGACUCGCGGCUUAUCAGCUUGUUGGUGGGGUAGUGGCUUACCAAGGCUUCGACGGGUAGCCGGCCUGAGAGGGUGACCGGCCACAUUGGGACUGAGAUACGGCCCAGACUCCUACGGGAGGCAGCAGUGGGGAAUAUUGCACAAUGGGCGGAAGCCUGAUGCAGCAACGCCGCGUGCGGGAUGACGGCCUUCGGGUUGUAAACCGCUUUCGCCUGUGACGAAGCGUGAGUGACGGUAAUGGGUAAAGAAGCACCGGCUAACUACGUG
rnacentral:rRNA from 1 species